rnacentral:rRNA from 1 species
UACGGGGGGGGCAAGCGCUGUUCGGAAUUACUGGGCGUAAAGGGCUCGUAGGCGGCCAACUAAGUCCGACGUGAAAUCCCCAGGCUUAACCUGGGAACUGCGUCGGAUACUGGAUGGCUUGAAUUCGGGAGAGGGAUGCAGAAUUCCAGGUGUAGCGGUGAAAUGCGUAGAUAUCUGGAGGAAUACCGGUGGCGAAGGCGGCAUCCUGGACCGACAUUGACGCUGAUGAGCGAAAGCUAGGGGAGCAAACGGG